UGGCCGGAUAACCUUUUGACUAGCUGUUAACAAAAAUUCUACUUGUUAAAAGAAAGGUAAAGGUUUACAUCCAAAUUCGUUUCGUGUAGUUCAACGAGAAAGUGAACAUUGGAAAAACUUCGAGAGGAGAAGAAAGUGACUCGCGCGUGCUCGAUUUUCACGCGACAACAACUGCCAGUACCAUUUCUACUCAUUUUGUCAGGCAUGUCCGUUAUUGUGAUCAUCCUUAGAGUGUGACGUUUCUCAACCGUGCAUUACCAUUAACGAACAAACAAGCCUUGUCCUUCGUACGAUAAGAUCGGAUCGCCCCGCAAGUUUCAUGGACAAACAACCAUCUUGGCAAUCAACGUGACGAGAGUGACGAAUUACAAUUACAGUUACAGUUACAGUUACAGUUACAGUUACAGUUACAGUUACAGUUACAGAUUCGGUUACAGUUACAAUUACAGUUACAGUUAUAAUUAUAUAAUUACAAUUACGAGCCUUCGAUAGUCCAAGAAUAUCGCCAGAAAAAAAGAACGGAUAGAAAGAACUUUCAGAGAUAUUCAAACGCGUGGAACAACCUCGAAUGUCUUGACUGGGAGAGUCAUCAAAAUCGCUUUGAUGCUUUCACAGUCCACUGCGACGUAACAAUAGCGCCACCACGGUGAAACACAUUUCAAAACGAAAAUUUCGAAUAUUUAGACCUCCCUCGGUACAUACGUAUGUACAAAAUAUCCGUGUUCAAACCGAUUGAUUAAUUUUCCAAUCGUUUAACAUUCGACUAUCCAGAAUUGCACGGAAUUUAUCGUCUUUUACUUCAAAGAGCAAGAGGAAGUUGUGAAAAAGAAAAGAAAAAAGACACAGGGAAAAAAAUCGAAGCGAGCAUCCAUUCAAGUUUCACACGUGACCAAUAAAAACAUGGUUUUCUCAAUAACGGUCUUGUCCCAACAACUUUGCUCCCGUACAAAAAAGGCUUUAAUUCUGUUUCUCUACAUUUUUUUUCUUUUUUGUCUUCUUUUUAUACUUUUUUCUUUUUUUUCAUUUUUUUUUUUUUUUUCGUUAACUCCUUUGUAUGUCCUAUAAUUUAAUGCAUACGACAACAUUUUUUUUUUAAAUGAUGGUCCAUUUCGUUUCACAGCGUUUCCAAUAACUUCGAUAAUAGUCUCUGAGUUCUCAACUACUAUAUAAUAAAGCCGACGCUUUUUACACACAUUUUUGCGAUCGAAUAUUUUUCCGUUCGACGCUCGCGCGCUGCAGCAGGCACAACCGUUCCACUAAUAUCGGAGGAGAGGUUAGAAAUUAUUCCACUUGAAUUAAUUCGAUCGAUCCAACUUAGACGAUGGUUGUGAACUCCCUCAAAGAGUAAAUCGAGCAAUGAUAAAAACCACUUUUUAUCUUUCUCUGUUACGAUAAUAUAUUGGCAAACAUCAAUUAUAUAACGUUAUAUAUAAUAUGUAUAUAUAACACUUAACAGAUAAGUAAAUAAUCUUUCAACACGUUUUAGAAUCGAUGUAACAGCUUAACAAGAGGACCAAACCAUCUAAAAUGAUAUUAGACUCCAUAUAUUGAUUUCUCGGUUGUGCCACAAAACAAGAUAGAUACAGACUGAAUUUGCUCGCGUGUAUUCGAGUGUAACUUACACAUACGCUUCUUCAUCGUCAUAUUAAAAAUAUACAUUAAAAUGGUACGCACAAUCGUGUCGUUAACGUACACCAUUUAACAAUUUCCCUACCUUAAGAGAUACCACUACGUAUUCCUUACUUUUUUUUUUUUUUUCACGUGGAUUGUGUCUUACAAUAAAAUAGAUCGGUAAGCAAAUCGUAAUCCUUGCCCCGUUGUAUGAGACCAUGAGUACUGGUGGAUCUAGUUAGAACGAUUAUUCUCAGGCAAUCUGGC